rnacentral:rRNA from 1 species
AGUCGACGGCAGCGCGGGGCAACCUGGCGGCGAGUGGCGAACGGGUGAGUAAUAUAUCGGAACGUACCCUGGAGUGGGGGAUAACGUAGCGAAAGUUACGCUAAUACCGCAUACGAUCUAAGGAUGAAAGUGGGGGAUCGCAAGACCUCAUGCUCCUGGAGCGGCCGAUAUCUGAUUAGCUAGUUGGCGGGGUAAAAGCCCACCAAGGUAACGAUCAGUAGCUGGUCUGAGAGGACGACCAGCCACACUGGAACUGAGACACGGUCCAGACUCCUACGGGAGGCAGCAGUGGGGAAUUUUGGACAAUGGGCGCAAGCCUGAUCCAGCAAUGCCGCGUGAGUGAAGAAGGCCUUCGGGUUGUAAAGCUCUUUUGUCAGGGAAGAAACGGUGGGGGCUAAUAUCCUCCGCUAAUGACGGUACCUGAAGAAUAAGCACCGGCUAACUACGUGCCAGCAGCCGCGGUAAUACGUAGGGUGCAAGCGUUAAUCGGAAUUACUGGGCAUAAAGCGUGCGCAGGCGGUUUUGUAAGUCUGUCGUGAAAUCCCCGGGCUCAACCUGGGAAUUGCGAUGGAGACUGCAAGGCUAGAAUCUGGCAGAGGGGGGUAGAAUUCCACGUGUAGCAGUGAAAUGCGUAGAUAUGUGGAGGAACACCGAUGGCGAAGGCAGCCCCCUGGGUCAAGAUUGACGCUCAUGCACGAAAGCGUGGGGAGCAAACAGGAUUAGAUACCCUGGUAGUCCACGCCCUAAACGAUGUCUACUAG